AACGACAGUGACCUAAACGCAAACGGCAAAUUAUUGUGUAGAAUUUUCUAUUCAAAUAUGUGUUACCUUGGGUGAACCAAGGUUGUGAGAUAUUAUCCUUAACUUCAGCAAACCAUUUGCCUUUAUUCUGAACGGUUUCUACCCAAAAAGCUUUAAAUUCAACUUUUAACUGUUUUUUUACCAAGGAUAAAAUGUCAGUAUCGGGGAUAUAACAAGAUGAAUUCACAUUGGUAGGAAUAUUUGCGAUUGUUUUGGCAAGAAAGUCUACUUUUUCGUUUCCAACAACACCUAUGUGAGAUGGGGUCCAAAAUAAGUGCCUUUAAAAUAGCCAUAGCUUCAGCGGUAUAUAUGCUAGCAAGUUCAGACAAUUCCUGAGCUAUAUAAGGAAGGCUAGAACUGUUACCAGAGGAAAAACAAUGAAUUAUUUUCAAGACAAGAGGAUGAUUAGUUAUAGAUAGAAGUUUAAGGAUAAACUUGGAUUUUAAGAACGAAAACCUUAAUUUCAACGGAGGGAUGUUGCAUUCCACUUGCAAUGAGAUUAUAGGGGUAGACCUCAUAGCUCCAACAACUAUGCGUAAACACUUGUUUUGAAUUUUUUCCAAUUUUUCCACCAAAUAUGAGACAUUACCAAAACAAUAAAAAGCAUAUUCAAAGUGACUUCUAGCUAUAGAUUUAUACAAAUUUAAUAGUAUUUUUGGGUCUGCUCCCCAAUAAGUACUAGCCAAAGAUCUCAAGAUAUUUACAGCUUUGGUUGCACGAUUUAUCAAGCAAUCAACAUAUUUAUUCCAUUUGAAAUUGCUCUGAAAUGUUACACCCAGAAACUUUGUGUUUUUCUCUACUGCAUUGAUUUCAAGAUUUAGUUGAUCGAAAUACAAUUUUAGUUUUGAUAAAGCAGAGUUUAAUUUGUCUUGGACUUCUAUUUUAUUGUUACCAGAGGUGUACACAACUAGAUCAUCUGCAAAUUGAAUUUGCAGAGAACCAAGAAUAGACGCUAAUGUUUCUAAAUUAACAUUAUUAAAAGCUCCAACAACAUCAAAAAACACACAACAAAGGAUUCCUCUAGAGGACAGUGCAUCAUGUAUAUCCAGAUUCAAAUGAUUCAGACUCUCCCGAGCUGAACGACCACGCCUAAAACCAAAUUGAUUAAAAGGUAAAAUAUUGUUGCUUUCUACAAAAAACUCCAAACGUUGUUUAAUUAAUUGUUCAAAUACCUUCCCCACACACGAACUAAGUGUGAUGGGACGAUAAGAAUCUGCAUUAUUUGGGUCUUUGCCAAAUUUUAAAAUGGGAACCAAGCAAUCUGUUUUCCACUCAUCUGGAAUAACGGAAUUAAGCCAUAAGCAGUUAAGUAUAUCUAAUAAUAUGUGGAGGAUGGAUAUAUUUAGCAAUUUAAACAUUCUGUAAGUUAUAAAAUCCAAGCCACAAGCUGUGUCUUUUCUGGAUCGAAGAGCUGACUGCAAUUCUACUAUUGUAAAGGGUUCUUCCAUAGAUAUUUUUGUCGGGUUACAGAUGGGGUAAAAUUGAAUUUGGCAUCUAGUAGUUUUUGAUUAAUCUCCGCCUUUGAGCAAAGGCAAUAAGCUUAUUCUGCCAAUGUCACCCGGUUAAUCCGCUUUAUGAGGGGAUCCAACUACUUUUCAUAACUGUAAAGCGUUUUACGUAUUUGGAUUGUUAAAUAAAACAAUAUAUUUUGUA
rnacentral:lncRNA from 1 species